GCGGGCCUCAGGGACCAAGGGACCCUCUGCAUCCCGCCCGGUCCCCGGCUCGGCUCGGCGCCGCUCGCUCAGCUUUUGUCUAGCCCGGCUGGGAGCCCCGGCCGCCCGCCUCCCCGGCACCCCUUCCCUCUGGAUCUUUCUCCACACCCAUCACUCGCCGAUGACUAGUUGUUAUGGGUUUCUCUCCCUCGCCCCCUCCCCUCGCAAUCCCGGGCUCUUUUCAAACGCGACUGGCUGUUCGCUGGCUUCUCCCACCGGGCCGUGCACCCAAGAGCCGAUGACAGCGCUGGACAUCGCCCUCACCCGGACCCGGCGUCUGCUACCGCAAGGCGAAGGGGCAAGGGCCUCGGAGGGCUGGAUCUAAAUCUCCUCUCCCCAACCGGGUACUUACAGUCGUAUUAUUCGCUACUGUUGCCGCUGCGGACCAGACAGCCGCCGCCUUCUCCUCCACCCCAAUGAGGUUAAGCGCUUGGUGCGGGGAUUAAAAAAAAAAAAAAAAAAAAAAAAAAAAAAAUAGAAGCCGAGAGCGCCUGCGCAGUGCAGUCUCCCUUUUACCGCCACCGACCCGGCUGGACCAUAGAGAAUGUAAACCGAGACCAGAGAGGCGGCUGCUCUCUAUGGUAACGCCCCGCGCAGGCGCCAGCCGGCCUGUACUGGGCUUCUGGAGCUGCAAGUCCCAGGAGCUUUCGCCUCCUCCGAGAACGUCAGUUGACCCCGAUAGGGACCCGUAGAAUAAAGGUUCUUUAAGGGAAGGACGGCGAAGGUGCUGCGAAAUUGCGGCGAAACUCAGGCUAGGCCAGGAGGGUCGGAUACAGUGGCCACGGCGACAGGGCACCACAAAGCAGGGAGUGUAGUGAAUAGAGCUGAGGGGGGAGUCGCGAAAGCCUGGAUAAAAGUCAUCUGGCCGGGACUUCCUGCGGUCGGGGUCUAAUACCUGAAGGAAACGAGCUUUCACUUCUGGGUUACGCGCGUCCCGCCCGACCGUCGGGCGACUCAGAUGAAGGAAAUUGUGCCCUGUGACUUUCCGUACCCGGGCUUGCGUUGGUUCCCCCUUCCCUUUUCGACAGGGCGCGGACACUUGAGCCGGAAGCACAACUUUUUAACGGUUCUCUGGCGUUCUUGAAGCGAAAUCGGCCCGGUUGAGGCCUCGGAGACUGGAGACGGCCAGCCACAACCCCUUUUUUACGUGAGCGCCUGAACAAAUAACGCUGCCUCUGACCUCCCUCUCGCGUGACUUUCGGCUGACACGUGAGAAAGUGUUUCGGAGGGUGCAAAGCUGUGCAAAUGAUAGGGCUGCCAUUAAGGAUCCUGCAGGACCCAGUUUUGCGGCGUCGAACCCCUAUGUUCGCAGAGAGUGAGAGCACAAGCCGGGAAGAGAGGCAGAGAGAGA